rnacentral:lncRNA from 1 species
GGUUCGUAUGCACGGCUGUCUCAAAUGAGUCCCAAAAUGAUUGCCAUUGAAGUAUAUCUCCAUCGAAAGUAGGGAGAUUCAACUUGGGUAGUUUGUUGUAUUUACUAGUUGAGCUAAAGGAUGGGCGAAAAUCUGACAAACGGUAAUUUGAGUUGUUCUGGUGUUCUGUAUAUGAAGAGUUUAUAGUAUGAACGGGUUGAGUAGUUUCUAUGCGGGGAGUAAAACUUUCUGCGUGUGUAUUCAACGAUGUAGUUUUGACUAAGAUAAAUUUGUUGACUUGACGAAUUUUACCUUCUAAGUUAAAUGCAUACUCAUCUGCUUCAACGAUCUCUGUUUCAAUAUCUCCGUCGUCCAGUUCCUGUACUAUGUCCUCAUCUAACUUGCGUAAUAUUUCUUGCU